rnacentral:rRNA from 1 species
UGUCAGGUAGAAAGUACAGUGGGACGUUAGCUUCCGAUGUCCAGCCGUAAAACCGCUGG